AAAAUGCGAUAAGUAAUGUGAAUUGCAGAAUUCAGUGAAUCAUCGAAUCUUUGAACGCACAUUGCGCCCGCCAGUAUUCUGGCGGGCAUGCCUGUUCGAGCGUCAUUUCAACCCUCAAGCUCAGCUUGGUGUUGGGACUCGCGGUAACCCGCGUUCCCCAAAUUGAUUGGCGGUCACGUCGAGCUUCCAUAGCGUAGUAAUCAUACACCUCGUUACUGGUAAUCGUCGCGGCCACGCCGUAAAACCCCAACUUCUGAAUGUUGACCUCGGAUCAGGUAGGAAUACCCGCUGAACUUAAGC
rnacentral:misc_RNA from 1 species